GACUUGCUCUAGUGAAGAACCAGGACGCUUGUCUCCUACACAGGAGCACCAAGGCAGCACAAAAUUACCAUCUCUUCAUGUUGUAAUGAUGAUGCAACACUUCAAAGGCAUUGUAAUGACAGAAUUUUACGAUGGGACUAUGUGGAGAAGAUAGAGACAGACCCUUCUCAGAGGUGCGCGGGAGGCAAUGGACAUAAGCUGAAACAGAACUUCAGAGAAGAUACAAGGAUUGAUGGUGGUUUGUGUGAACAUUUUUGCAACAUGCUCCCAGAUGAAGCUGUGCCCGGAGGGAGGUCCGCAGCAGAGCGGGGUGUGGUACAGCUGUGUCCCGGCGCCCCAUGGGUCAAAGCGUGAUCCUUCUCCCUUCCUCCUCGGAAUUGCUCCAGCCACGUCUCCAAGUCACGCACCAUGCAAAUGCACCACGUGCAAUUUAAGAGCAUUUAGGAGUACAAACAGGGGCAUGUCAAAUGGAAGACAGCAAAGAUACUUCAUCGUACAUGACAGAAUCAGAAACUUCGGAUAUGAUAAUGACUCCCAAACUGGCCUGUUGUUCAGUGUGACACAGAAAGAGAUCUACAAAAAGACAUCUCUGCUCCAAAGCUCACAUAGCUGUGGGCCAAAGCUAAUAAACCCUGCCUUCAGCAGCAGAGGAUUCUCAGCAGUGCGCUCUGUGGUGAAUAAGGAAUUUCAUAGAGGAUCCCAACGCUGUCUUCUCUCAAUGGGUCUUUCCUUGUGUUUUCACAUCAGAGGGUAUAAGGUGCAGUUCAGGAGAAACAGAGCGUUGCAAAUACAUUUUGAUGCUGUAUAUCUGUAUGAGAUGGGAGCUGUAUGUGUGCCUGGAUUUUAAAUCUAUGAUUGCCCUACUUAAUAAGAAUGACUUAGGAGCCUUAAGACCAAGUUUCAGCUGACUACUAUGACUCGGAAGAGGAUUAAGCUUUACUUCCUUCAGACCUGCUCUGAUUCUGACUUCUAUGUUGAUUGAUAGAGAAAACGAGUUUUUUGAGGAAUGAGGUCUUGUACAAGGUGUGGCUGAAGAAGCGAAAAUGACCUUACCUCACAAGACAACAAGGUACCAUAGAUGAGAGG